GAGUUUGAUCGUGGCUCAGGACGAACGCUGGCGGCGUGCCUAAUACAUGCAAGUCGAACGGGGUUGAGUGCUUCGGUAUUCAACCUAGUGGCGAACGGGUGAGUAACGCGUGAAGAACCUGCCUUUCAGUGGGGGACAACAGUUGGAAACGACUGCUAAUACCGCAUGACACUUCUGAGUGGCAUCACUUAGAAGUCAAAGCUUUAUGUGCUGAAAGAUGGCUUCGCGUCUGAUUAGCUAGUUGGCGGGUAACGGCCCACCAAGGCGACGAUCAGUAGCCGGUCUGAGAGGAUGACCGGCCACAUUGGGACUGAGAUACGGCCCAAACUCCUACGGGAGGCAGCAGUGGGGGAUAUUGCACAAUGGGGGAAACCCUGAUGCAGCGACGCCGCGUGGAGGAAGAAGGUUUUCGGAUUGUAAACUCCUGUCGUUAGGGACGAUAAUGACGGUACCUAACAAGAAA
rnacentral:rRNA from 1 species